UACGGAAGGCAGCAGGUGGGAAUAUUGCACAAUGGGCGCAAGCCUGAUGCAGCCAUGCCGCGUGUAUGAAAAGGCCUUCGGGUUGUAAAGUACUUUCAGUCGUGAGGAAGGUGUUAAGGUUAAUAACCUUAGCAAUUGACGUUAGCGACAGAAGAAGCACCGGCUAACUCCGUGCCAGCAGCCGCGGUAAUACGGAGGGUGCGAGCGUUAAUCGGAAUUACUGGGCGUAAAGGGCACGCAGGCGGUUAAUUAAGUUGGAUGUGAAAUCCCCGGGCUUAACCUGGGAAUGGCAUUCAAGACUGGUUAGCUAGAGUCUUGUAGAGGGGGUAGAAUUCCAUGUGUAGCGGUGAAAUGCGUAGAGAUGUGGAGGAAUACCGGUGGCGAAGGCGGCCCCUGGACGAAAGACUGACGCUCAUGUGCGAAAGCGUGGGGAGCAAAC
rnacentral:rRNA from 1 species